ACGAACGCUGGCGGCGUGCCUAAUACAUGCAAGUCGAACGCUUCUUUUUCCAUCGGAGCUUGCUCCACCGGAAAAAGAGGAGUGGCGAACGGGUGAGUAACACGUGGGUAACCUGCCCAUCAGAAGGGGAUAACACUUGGAAACAGGUGCUAAUACCGUAUAACAAUCGAAACCGCAUGGUUUUGAUUUGAAAGGCGCUUUCGGGUGUCGCUGAUGGAUGGACCCGCGGUGCAUUAGCUAGUUGGUGAGGUAACGGCUCACCAAGGCGACGAUGCAUAGCCGACCUGAGAGGGUGAUCGGCCACAUUGGGACUGAGACACGGCCCAAACUCCUACGGGAGGCAGCAGUAGGGAAUCUUCGGCAAUGGACGAAAGUCUGACCGAGCAACGCCGCGUGAGUGAAGAAGGUUUUCGGAUCGUAAAACUCUGUUGUUAGAGAAGAACAAGGAUGAGAGUAACUGUUCAUCCCUUGACGGUAUCUAACCAGAAAGCCACGGCUAACUACGUGCCAGCAGCCGCGGUAAUACGUAGGUGGCAAGCGUUGUCCGGAUUUAUUGGGCGUAAAGCGAGCGCAGGCGGUUUCUUAAGUCUGAUGUGAAAGCCCCCGGCUCAACCGGGGAGGGUCAUUGGAAACUGGGAGACUUGAGUGCAGAAGAGGAGAGUGGAAUUCCAUGUGUAGCGGUGAAAUGCGUAGAUAUAUGGAGGAACACCAGUGGCGAAGGCGGCUCUCUGGUCUGUAACUGACGCUGAGGCUCGAAAGCGUGGGGAGCAAACAGGAUUAGAUACCCUGGUAGUCCACACUGUAAACGAUGAUUACUAGGUGUGGGGGGUCUAACCCCCUCCGUGCCGGAGUUAACACAAUAAGUAAUCCACCUGGGGAGUACGGCCGCAAGGCUGAAACUCAAAGGAAUUGACGGGGGCCCGCACAAGCGGUGGAGCAUGUGGUUUAAUUCGAAGCAACGCGAAGAACCUUACCAGGUCUUGACAUCCUUUGACCACUCUAGAGAUAGAGCUUCCCCUUCGGGGGCAAAGUGACAGGUGGUGCAUGGUUGUCGUCAGCUCGUGUCGUGAGAUGUUGGGUUAAGUCCCGCAACGAGCGCAACCCUUAUUGUUAGUUGCCAUCAUUUAGUUGGGCACUCUAGCAAGACUGCCGGUGACAAACCGGAGGAAGGUGGGGAUGACGUCAAAUCAUCAUGCCCCUUAUGACCUGGGCUACACACGUGCUACAAUGGGAAGUACAACGAGUCGCAAAGUCGCGAGGCUAAGCUAAUCUCUUAAAGCUUCUCUCAGUUCGGAUUGUAGGCUGCAACUCGCCUACAUGAAGCCGGAAUCGCUAGUAAUCGCGGAUCAGCACGCCGCGGUGAAUACGUUCCCGGGCCUUGUACACACCGCCCGUCACACCACGAGAGUUUGUAACACCCGAAGUCGGUGAGGUAACCUUUUGGAGCCAGCCGCCUAAGGUGGGAUAGAUGAUUGGGGUG
rnacentral:rRNA from 1 species